UACAGAGGUCCCAAGCGUUGUUCGGAUUCAUUGGGCGUAAAGGGUGCGUAGGCGGCGCGGUAAGUCGGGUGUGAAAUCUCGGGGCUUAACUCCGUAACUGCAUUCGAUACUGCCGUGCUUGAGGACUGGAGAGGAGACUGGAAUUUACGGUGUAGCGGUGAAAUGCGUAGAUAUCGUAAGGAAGACCAGUGGCGAAGGCGGGUCUCUGGACAGUUCCUGACGCUGAGGCACGAAGGCCAGGGGAGCAAACGGG
rnacentral:rRNA from 1 species